CCGCUCUGAGCCCGGCCUUGGCUGGGGAGGGCGGGGUAUAAAUAAAAAAUUAUUAUUAUUAUUAUUUAUACCCCGCCCUCCUUGGCCAGAGCCGGGCUCAGGGUGA